rnacentral:rRNA from 1 species
AACGAACGCUGGCGGCAUGCCUAACACAUGCAAGUCGAACGAGACCUUCGGGUCUAGUGGCGCACGGGUGCGUAACGCGUGGGAACCUGCCCUUAGGUUCGGAAUAACUCCCCGAAAGGGGUGCUAAUACCGGGUAAUGUCUUCGGACCAAAGAUUUAUCGCCUUUGGAUGGGCCCGCGUUGGUUUAGCUAGUUGGGAGGGUAAAAGCCUACCAAGGCGACGAUCCAUAGCUGGUCUGAGAGGAUGAGCAGCCACACUGGGACUGAGACACGGCCCAGACUCUUAGGGGAGGCAGCAGUGGGGAAUAUUGGACAAUGGGCGAAAGCCUGAUCCAGCAAGGCCGCGUGAGUGAUGAAGGCGUUAGGGUUGUAAAGCUCUUUUACCCGGGAUGAUAAUGACAGUACCGGGAGAAUAAGCACCGGCUAACUCCGUG